rnacentral:misc_RNA from 1 species
AUGAUUAUUCUGAACAUCUUAAAGCAAUAUAAGAUAGUUUCAAGGUAAAGAAAACCUCAAGAAUUAUCCAACUCCUACAAAAUAACUACUACUACUCUUCUUAUGAUUAAAGAAACAAAGAUCAAAUACAUUUCAUGGCUUAUUCACUUUCAUAAUCUUCAUCAUCUCCAAAACUAAACACAGAUGCAUCUGCUGCAAUGGCUUUAAUAUCAUUUGAGCCGAGAUUGGGAAUAGCAGCUCUUUCAACUGUUUCACUCUUGAUCUCGCUUGCGCCCUUUUUCGGAUCGCUGUUUCUAAGAGAAAGUUGUUCGGUGUUAUGAGUUAGAUUGGCAAUCUGCUCCUUCUGGGAGCUAGAAUCAACACCUGCAGCAGCAGUUUGUGAAGCUCUUGUCUGACUUCUUCUACUCGAAGGUGUACCGUCCUCCCCUUCACUAUCUGAAAAUACAUCAUCACCACGAUUUUGGCCCCCGGACACCUUGUUCUUGUUCAAAUUAUCUUUGGUUCCUUCACUCGAUGAAGAAAUGUUUCCUUGUCUCGGGUCCUUUCCUUUGGAAGCACCAUCAGCCUUGGGCUUUAAUGGAACACUUCCA